rnacentral:rRNA from 1 species
GAUGAACGCUAGCUACAGGCUUAACACAUGCAAGUCGAGGGACCGGCGCCCGGGUGAGUAACCCGUAUCCAACCUGCCCUUUACUCGGGGAUAGCUUUUCGAAAGAAAGAUUAAUACCCGAUGUAAGGGAUGGGGAUGCGUUCCAUUAGGUUUUUGGUGAGGUAACGCCUCACAAAGCUUUCGAUGGUUAGGGGUUCUGAGAGGAAGGUCCCCCACAUUGGAACUGAGACACGGUCCAAACUCCUACGGGAGGCAGCAGUGAGGAAUAUUGGGCAAUGGGCGUUAGCCUGAACCAGCCAAGUAGCGUGAAGGAUGAAGGCUUAUGGGUCGUAAACUUCUUUUAUAUAAGAAUAUGUAUUAUAUGAAUAAGGAUCGGCUAACUCCGUGCCAGCAGCCGCGGUAAUAC